rnacentral:rRNA from 1 species
AUUGAACGCUGGCGGCAGGCCUAACACAUGCAAGUCGAACGAGUGGCGGACGGGUGAGCAAUGUCUGGGAAACUGCCUGAUGGCGGGGGAUCACUACUGGAAACGGUAGCUAAUACCGCAUACCAUCGGAUGUGCCCAGAUGGGCUUAGCUAGUAGGGGGGGUAACGGCUCAACUAGGCGACGAUCCCUAGCUGGUCUGAGAGGAUGACCAGCCACACUGGAACGUAGACACGGUCCAUACUCCUACGGUAGGCAGCAGGGGGGAAUAUUGCACAAUGGGCGCAAGCCUGAUGCAGCCAUGCCGCGUGUAUGAAGAAGGCCUUCGGGUUGUAAAGUACUUUCAGCGGGGAGGCGUUACCCGCAGAAGAAGCACCGGCUAACUCCGUGCCAGCAGCCGCGGUAAUUC